rnacentral:rRNA from 1 species
UACGGAGGGUGCAAGCGUUGUCCGGAUUUAUUGGGUUUAAAGGGUGCGUAGGCGGCCCGUUAAGUCAGUGGUGAAAGCCUCCAGCUCAACUGGAGAACUGCCAUUGAUACUGACGGGCUUGAGUACAGACGAGGUAGGCGGAAUUGAUUGUGUAGCGGUGAAAUGCAUAGAUACAAUCAAGAACACCGAUUGCGUAGGCAGCUUACUAGGCUGUAACUGACGCUGAGGCACGAAAGCGUGGGGAGCGAACAGG